rnacentral:rRNA from 1 species
GAUGAACGCUGGCGGCGUGCCUAAUACAUGCAAGUCGAGCGAACAGAUGAGGAGCUUGCUCCUCUGACGUUAGCGGCGGACGGGUGAGUAACACGUGGAUAACCUACCUAUAAGACUGGGAUAACUUCGGGAAACCGGAGCUAAUACCGGAUAAUAUAUUGAACCGCAUGGUUCAAUAGUGAAAGACGGUGUUGCUGUCACUUAUAGAUGGAUCCGCGCCGCAUUAGCUAGUUGGUAAGGUAACGGCUUACCAAGGCAACGAUGCGUAGCCGACCUGAGAGGGUGGUCGGCCACACUGGAACUGAGACACGGUCCAGACUCCUGCGGGAGGCAGCAGUAGGGAAUCUUCCGCAAUGGGCGAAAGCUUGACGGAGCAACGCCGCGUGAGUGAUGAAGGUCUUCGGAUCGUAAAACUCUGUUAUUAGGGAAGAACAAAUGUGUAAGUAACUAUGCACGUCUUGACGGUACCUAAUCAGAAAGCCACGGCUAACUACGUG